rnacentral:rRNA from 1 species
GAUGAACGCUGGCGGCGUGCCUAAUACAUGCAAGUCGAGCGAACAGACGAGGAGCUUGCUCCUCUGACGUUAGCGGCGGACGGGUGAGUAACACGUGGAUAACCUACCUAUAAGACUGGGAUAACUUCGGGACACCGGAGCUAAUACCGGAUAAUAUAUUGAACCGCAUGGUUCACUAGUGAAAGACGGUUUUGCUGUCACUUAUAGAUGGAUCCGCGCCGCAUUAGCUAGUUGGUAAGGUAACGGCUUACCAAGGCAACGAUGCGUAGCCGACCUGAGAGGGUGAUCGGCCACACUGGAACUGAGACACGGUCCAGACUCCUACGGGAGGCAGCAGUAGGGAAUCUUCCGCAAUGGGCGAAAGCCUGACGGAGCAACGCCGCGUGAGUGAUGAAGGUCUUCGGAUCGUAAAACUCUGUUAUUAGGGAAGAACAAAUGUGUAAGUAACUAUGCACGUCUUGACGGUACCUAAUCAGAAAGCCACGGCUAACUACGUG